rnacentral:rRNA from 1 species
GACGAACGCUGGCGGCGUGCUUAACACAUGCAAGUCGAACGAUGAAGCCCAGCUUGCUGGGUGGCUUAGUGGCGAACGGGUGAGUAACACGUGAGCAACGUGCCCGAAACUCUGGAAUAACUACCGGAAACGGUGGCUAAUACUGGAUAUGUGCCAGGGAGGCAUCUCCUCUGGUUGGAAAGAUUUUUCGGUUUCGGAUCGGCUCACGGCCUCUCAGCUUGUUGGUGGGGUCAUGGCCUACCAAGGCGACGACGGGUAGCCGGCCUGAGAGGGUGACCGGCCACACUGGGACGGAGAUACGGCCCAGACUCCUACGGGAGGCAGCAGUGGGGAAUAGUGCACAAUGGGCGCAAGCCUGAUGCAGCAACGCCGCGUGAGGGAUGACGGCCUUCGGGUUGUAAACCUCUUUUAGUAGGGAAGAAGCGCAAGUGACGGUACCUGCAGAAAAAGCACCGGCUAACUACGUG